ACUCCAUGAUGCUGACAUCUUCUCACAAUUUCCUUGAAUCUUUCCCAUGCUUCAAACACCAUUUUUGUAUGUUUUUGCUCAAAGUUGUGGAUCUCUCUUCGAAUUUU
rfam:Nicotiana sylvestris Nsyl_contig81307, whole genome shotgun sequence.